AAAUUGAAUAUUUUAUGAUUCCAUUUUCUCUCCACUCUUAGUAUAUCAAUUAUAUUUUUUACAUAUUUUAGUUGUUAAUUUAAAGUUUACUAUAUACACUUAAAACGAAUCUAUGUCCACUGUCAAACAACACUGUACUGCUUCCUAGGUAGGACAGGGACUUUAUGAGAGAAUAUUCUCAAUUCCUGCCUCUCACUACUUACAAUGUUGUUUUUAUUCCAUAAGCUAUAGUCACAUAAUACACUGUCGUGUACAACAUUUCUUAUAAGGCAGUUCUGCUGAAAAUAAACUGUUUGUUUUUGUUUGCCAGGGAAAGUCUGUAUUAGUCUGCUUUGGCUGCCAUACAAAAUAUCAUUGACUGAGUGGCUUAAUAAUAGGAAUCAACUUCUCAAAGUUAUGGAGGCUGGAAGUCAAAUAUCAAGGUGGUAGCAAAGUCACUGUCUGCUUGGAGUUCCCCUUUUGGUUUGCAGAUGGCUCCCUUCUCACCGUGUCCUCACAUGGCCUUUCCUAGUCCUGUUUAGGAGGAGGCAGAAAGACAGAAAGAAACAGGUUGAAGCUAAGCUUUCUGUUAUCUCUUCUUAUGAGAGCACUGAUUUUCUAAUGAAGUCCCUACCCUCAUGAACUCAUCUCAACCUAAUUACAUCCUAGUAGCCCCAUGUCUAAAUACCUUAACUUUGGGUGUUAGGGCUGCAACAUAUGAAUUUGAGGGAGGGCAGGGUGGGCCCAAUUCAGUCCAAAGCAAAAUCUUUAUUUCUUUUUUACUGUUGAAAGAUAAUUUCACCAGAUUCAGUAUUCCAGUUUCAUGGGGUUUUUCCUUCAAUGCUUUAAAUGUUUCACUCUAUUAUCUUCUUGCUUGCAUGGUUUCUGACAAGAAAUUCACUAUAAUUUUUAUUCUCAUUUCUUUAUAGGUAACAUUUUCAUACUCUGGUAUUUUUCAAGGUUUGCUUUUUGACUUUGUUUUUCUACAGAUUGAAUAUGCUAUUUACAUAUUUAGAUUUUUUUUCAAAAUUAUCCUGCUUCAUUUUCUCAGUGCUUCCUGGACUUGUUGUUUGGUCUUUGUCAUUAAUUUUGAAAAAAAACUCUUAACUGUUAUUACAUCGAAUAUUUUUUCUGCUUUAUUUUCUCUUUCUCUUUGGUUUCAGAUUAUGCAUAUAUUACACCUUUUGUAAUUGUCCCACACAUCUUGGAUGUUCUCUUUCAUUUUUUUUUACAACUAUACUUUUUCUUUGCAUUUAUGUUUGAGAAGUUUCCAUUGUCAUUUUCAAGCCUACUGAUUCUUUCCUUAGGCACAAUUCAAUGUGUUAUUCCAUCAAAAGCAGAUUUUCCUUUUUUUUUUUUUUUAGCAUGUUAAGAUUCUUUCUUAGAGUUGCACUCUUUCUGAAGAGUUGAUCUAUUCUUCCACGUUCAUCAAUUUUUCAUUUGAUUUCUUAGCAUAUUAUACAUAGAUACUUUAAAUUACCGCUGUGGUGAUUCCAAAAUUUGUGUCAUAUCUGAGUCUGGUUCUGUUGGUUGCUCUAACACUCCAGAGGUGUUUUGUUGCUGGCAUUUUCUGUUGUGUAUGUGUGUGUUUGCCUUUUAGCAUGCCUUGUAAUUUUUGGUUCAAAGUCAGACAUGAUGUAUCUGAUAACAGAAACUAAGAAAAAUGGGUCUUUGUUGUGAGAGAUUAUGGAGAUCUUCCUAGAAGGUAACUUGUGAUUAUAGUUUUCUAGAGCUGUUGCUGCCUGAGACAUUAAUACUCUCAGGUGUUGUUUUUUGUUCCCCCUGUGGUCUUUAGGUUUUACUAGAAACAAAACUUCCUGAUGUAUAGUCUGACACUUGCAAUUCUUUCAGCUGUAAUCCUCUGUUUUAUACAGUAGCAUUAUUGGUAUUGUGGUGAAAGGUGAGGAAAAAGAAAAUGCUCUAUAAUCCUUUUAUUAGGUCCAGAUAUUUUCAGUGGGUCUGUGUGUCUGAGCCGUUACCUUCAUAAAUGCUUUUUUGAUCUCCUUGUCUGAAACUCAGUUGAUACAGGAAGUUGAUCUGGGAAGGGUAGAGCGGCCUCAACUUAGGUACUUCCUUUUUCCCACAAUAGUUAGGCUUGGGUAUUUUCCCUUGAGGGCAGUUGGAGAACACAAAGUUCGGUGUGUAUUUCAAAAUUGCCAUCUUUUCUCUCUCUGCAUUGGAAGCAUAAUGGGAUUUCUUCACCAAUCUUCAGCACAAAAAUCUGGUGGGGUUCCUGGAGGUAAAAUUUAUGAAAAUUUGGGGCUCCCUCUAACACUAAGUCUCCUGGAGUUUUUAACUCUCAAGCUAGAACACACUAAGCAUUCAAAUUGUAUCAGAGUUUAAGUGUUUCUACCAGUAGUGGCUCCAGGAGUAGAUUUCUGCUCCUGGGUUUCUAUUUCGAGUAAGCUGUGAUUCUCGGUAUCUGCCUUUCUCUUCAGUUUUCAGGACAGUGGUUUAUUAUUUCUCUUCAAUUUUCAGAAGAAUCUAAGAAGAGUUGUUGGUUUUCAGUGUGUUCAGCUAUAAUAAAGGCUACUAUAAGCUUUAUAGAUUCAACAUGCUUACUCUCAGCAUCACCCAGGAUGAUCUUGUACAGUACAAAUCAGAAAAUGGGAUAUUAAGGUAAGAAU
rnacentral:lncRNA from 10 species